UACGUAGGGUGCGAGCGUUGUCCGGAAUUAUUGGGCGUAAAGAGCUUGUAGGCGGUUUGUCGCGUCUGCUGUGAAAAUCCGGGGCUCAACCCCGGACUUGCAGUGGGUACGGGCAGACUAGAGUGUGGUAGGGGAGACUGGAAUUCCUGGUGUAGCGGUGAAAUGCGCAGAUAUCAGGAGGAACACCGAUGGCGAAGGCAGGUCUCCUGGGCCACUACUGACGUGAGAAGCGAAAGCAUGGGGAGCGAACAGG
rnacentral:rRNA from 1 species